rnacentral:lncRNA from 1 species
UCAGGUGAUCAACCUGCCUCAGCCUCCCAAAGUGCUGGGAUUACAGGCGUGAGCCACCGCACCUGGCCUAGGGGUACCUUUAAUAAAUCUUUUUGGGGGUGCAAUUCAGCCCUCAAGACCAGGUGAGAGAGUCCCUCCCAGUAUGAUUGCAAGCUCAAACCCAUGGAUCCAAAUCAGGAUACCACCUUAAAUUUAACAUAAUGCCCUUAAAAAUGAAAAAGGUCAGAACCAAGCUCUAUCCACAGAAUCAAAUCAAAAUUUCACUUUGGCAUCCUUCUUUUGCUCACCCUUCACCCUGUUCCCCACCCGUUGUAUGUGCACUCAGCUAGCUCUAUGUUUCCUCUGUACAUCCUUCCUGCUUGAAUUUGAUAGUCUCAAUUUUUCAGUCAAGUUAGUUCUUAACAAUUUUGAGGUCAUGGGACCACUCUGAGAAUCUAAUAGAAGCUAUGGAGUCUCUGAGAACACUGCACAGAUAAAAACAAUUUAGCAUCCAAUUUCAGAGCAGUCAGAUACUAAUCCACUUCCCUCCUCCCCAAGGGCCUCUAAGUAUAGAACCACCUUGCACAGUUUGGCUUCCCCAGGCAUUGAUUCUGCAAUAAAAUCAUCACAACUCACUAUCAAUCCCUCUUCCAAGGCAAUUUCUCCAGAUCCUGCACAUUGUGCAGUGCUCCAUACUCUGGGUCUUGGCCAACCUUAGCUGUCCAGCCACUGCCUCGGGCUGAAGCUGAGAAGGGCUGGCUGGGCAGAGCUCUUCCACUGGGCCCUGAAGGCAGCUGGACUCCCUCUCCAGCCAACUUGGCUGUGAGCAUAGAACCCCCACAAAUUCUGCUUGACCCAACACCUCUUCUGAGCCCACUUUCUCCAGGGGUGGGUAGAAAUAUCUCAGAAUGUUAAAACUUCUCAGUCCGCAAGCCAUGUUAUCAUCUGGAUUUCAACAAAGAAAAGUGACUCCAGCAUGCAGAGUGGGAUCAACUUGCUCUACCAACUCUGGAUCUUCUGUCAUCUGGAAAUGACGGGGAUCUUGUACUCACGGGCAAUGCCUGCCUACUAUUAUCUUUGGAAUCAGCAUGUGAGGCCCCCUACAGAUGAGGGAACUGAGACCUGGAGAUGUGGCAAGCCUUGCCAAAGGCUCCACAGUGACACAGAAGCAGAGCCCAGAGCGCUGAAGGCCCACCCUGUCCAUAAUCAGAACUAGAGAUCGGCUGCCGGGCCGCAGGUCUUCGUAGCAGAAACAGACCAGCACAAGUGGUUGAAGGUCCUGUUCCUCAAAUAACUACAACUAAGUAAAGCCAAGCUGCUCCACAGUGAGGCUCCAGCCAGAAGCCACCCUUCAUUAACCUGGUGGCAGUUACCAGAACUGGAAGCUGUAGACUACAAAGACUUAACAGUCUGCUUAACCCCUUUCUCUCAAUGAGUAAAAUGGCUAAUAGGCUAGACCACAAACCAAUGCACAUUCAGAAUCAUCUAGAAUUGCUCAGUACUUGACAACAUAAAUGUCUGUUUCACGACUUGGAAAGGAGUCCACAAUCCACUAAGUGUUAAAAAGAUUAUG